rnacentral:lncRNA from 12 species
CCCCCCCCCCCCCCCCCCCCCCCCCCCCCCCCCCCCCCCCCCCCCCCCCCCCCCCCCCCCCCCCGGGAGGCGGCGGGAGGGGCCGCGCUGCCGCUCGGCGCGGUGCCCGGGGCAGGGAGUUGAUGAUUAACCCGCGGGCCACCGAGUACCUGCCUAAAGUCGCGCCCAGGGUGGGGUUUAACCUUGUCCCGGGCUCGGUGCCUCCCGUGUGACCGUGGGGCGAGCAGUUCUGCAGCUGCCGCCGAAGCGCUGCGGGGAUGCGCAGCUCCCUGUUGAACAAUCUCUGCUCUAGGUCUCAGCCUAGAGCUCGUUUUUGGAGGCUCAGGAGGUCGAGGUGAUGUGGGGGUCUCGGCGAGCGGAUGUGCGCCACAGCCGCGGGCUGCAGUAGCUCGAGUGUUUGUGGCUGGCGCUUGAAUCCAGGCUGGCCUCUUUUCCUGGGGCUGAGCCGCAAGGAGCUCAGCAGCUGCGGCAUUUAGGGGAAAAAAAGAAGUGCUGCAUUUUUUCCCUACUGUGGUGCCUGUGGCCUUGACAGAAGAGGAGAAAUCUAUAUAUUGCUCUGAGGUAAAGUUCAAUUACUUCAGAUGAUCUGUAAAUUUUCAAUAAUGGCAAUACAUUCAUUCUGCCAUUUGGAGGAGCCUGUGCCACAGAAUAAUGAUCUGAAGAAAGCUCACUUAUUUGCAAGGAAGAGUCUUCAUUUGGGAAGCAGCACUGAUGCAGCUCAAGGGUGCUUUUCCAAUUCCAGACUCUUUCAGCAGAACUGUUAUUUUCCUAACACAACCUCUGGUACAAGGAUAAAAUUGGAUAAAAUUGGAUAA